ensembl:lncRNA
CAGCAGACCCUUGGCUACUGCUGACAGACGCACCCUCCUCCAGGGAGAUUUAUUCUGAAGACUCGCUGACCGCAGCUGCUUUCACACAGAGCCAGUGUUAUAUAAUUCAUUUAUUUUUAAGAGGAUAUAAACUUUGGUUAAUUAUUGCCUUAAGUGCUGUCCUAAAACCCAGAGAAGAUCACACAUUCUGUCAGUCUGAGCAGUAAAUGACGUCAUGGGACUUCAGGUCAAACCUGUAAUAACUCAUUUUUGGGGUGCCUCUUGGUCUAUGUAAGUAUUUUUAGUAUUAUUUUUUAUUUAAUUAUUUUUUGCUAAUUUAAAUGACCCCCUAUGUGUUCAAUUUUUGAAAAUGCAGCAUGUAGUUUUAUUGUGAUUAUUUCAGCAUGAAUGUUAUUAAAAGCAAAUCAUUUACGCUGAACCGCUCCAACUGUGAAAGGGCUUGUUAAAGCCCCUCACUCGGUUUUAAAGGGAUCCUCGUUCAGGCAAUUAUUUCAUGAGUUAGAAAACACAUUCAGUCAGCAGCUCAGGGCCUUUGGGACCUGAAGCAUGUGAUGAGGAAAUGAAGCAAUCAGCCUUAUGUUUGUGUGUGUGGGAGCCUUGGUUUAUUGAGCAGGUGUGUGUGUGUGUGUGUGUGUGUGUGUGUGUGUGUGGGAUUUGAUACAUUCAUUGUCAGGCGCCUGUCGACUCUAAACUUUAACAAAGAGGUGUAUGAUCAACAGCUGAGCGGUACAUCUGACAAAGUGUCUCAGCAAGAAGAUAUCAUCAAGACAUCAGUCAACUACAUCUGUACAGCUCAGAUACUGAGCAACACACACCUGCAGGUUUAGAGGACUCCAAUAAACCUGGAGCCCACCUGACAGUGAAAAAGAUCUUUGUCAGUGGAAUCAAGGAGGACACAGAGGAGUAUCAUAUCAGACAGCACUUUGAGCGCUGUGGGAAGAUUCAGAUUACUGACAACUGGGAGCAAGAGAGGAUUCUGCUCCGUCACCUUUGAUGAUCACGAUACUGUGGAAAAAAUUUGUUGGUGCACAAAAAUAUCACACAAUCAACCCGCAUAACUGUGAAGUAAGAAAAGCACUUCCAAAGCAGGAGAUGUUUCUAAUCAGAGAUGUAAGUAAUAUGUUUCGUAUCUACAGUAACUGCCUGUUCUGAUUCUCAAAUAUCCAUUUUGACAUUUUUAGAGGUUUACAAUGUUCCAGUGAUAUUGUAAAGUUGUUGUAGGUAAUAAAAUAUAACAUGUUGUUUUGGAUCA